AAGGAGGUGAUCCAUCCGCAUACUUUGCAGUUUGUGCCCACAGCCAUUGGCUCGCGCGCUAUAGGAAUCGCUUGCACGUAUGGAUCAAACACGUAUGGGGUUUUGAGCUAGAGCAAUCAAGAUACCAGUUUCUUUUUUAGUGUAAUCAAUGAAAAUUCACCUACGUGUAAUAGCCACCUGCAGAAGAGCAAUGUCGUUUUGAAGAAUGCUGAGAUUGAAUUCCGGGUGUACGAUAUAUUCUUUCCCAUAACUCCAUUGAUGAGCUUCAUCUGUAUUUUUAAGGUCAACUUCCCCAGCGAUGACAAUUAUUGAAGGAGCAUCAAUCAUAUUGCUAGAGGAACUGGCAGGGACGUUAGGUGAUUUUAUAAAACAGAAAAAAAAUUUCUUAAUGCCAUUUUGUUGUAACAUAAUUGAAAAAAAAUACCAGAUGUUUUCUAAACCAAAAGGGAAUGCUCAGGUUCUAAAUGAGCGAAAUAUUUGUUUACAAUUCUUUGCUUGUCAUGAUAACCUAAAAAGUCAAUUGCUCGACUACAAGUCAAGUGACCGUCGACUAAAAACCUAAUGUAUAACAAACCAAUCACAUCACGCAAAUAGCUACAGAGAUUACAGUUCAUGUCUGAGCAGAAACUUCAGAGAGGAAAUACUCACUAGAACAUGCAGUGAGCUGCGGUGAGAACCCAGUCGGGCGUCAAUAUACUGCCACCGCAGAAAUGGCUUUGGGACUGGCCCCUCCGCAGGGAAACCUGAAAUCCUUCUAUCAACGGAGCCCUCGCUUUUCAAGUUCGCCGCCGCGAUAAGCACGUCGAUAAUCCUCACCUGCUGUGGCGAUUCGCCCAAAACCGCUUUGAUGCCGUUGAUGAUUCGAUUUUUAAAAUUGUCCUUCAAUUUUUCUUCGUUCAUCGAUGCUACACAGGACUUUUCCAGUCGGUCUGAAAUCGAAUGAAAUACACUUAUCGAAGCACGCCUAGCGGUGAACUUGUGAUUUCCAGGAGAUGCACAUGAACAAGUAUAAUGGUGAAUGACAUUGUUGUGCAAAAUGCGGAUGGAUCACCUCCUU
rnacentral:rRNA from 1 species